rnacentral:SRP_RNA from 1 species
GGCGACCCCUCGUGUGGCGUCAUCUCGUCAAUCCCCCCAGGGCCGGAAGGCAGCAAGGGUCCGCGGGCUCUGAUGGGUACGCGGGGGGUCCCUUUC